GACGAACGCUGGCGGCGUGCUUAACACAUGCAAGUCGAGCGGUAAGGCCCUUCGGGGUACACGAGCGGCGAACGGGUGAGUAACACGUGAGCAAUCUGCCCUUCACUCUGGGAUAACCCCCGGAAACGGGAGCUAAUACCGGAUACGACCACUUCGGACAUCCGAUGGUGGUGGAAAGUUCCGGCGGUGAAGGAUGAGCUCGCGGCCUAUCAGCUUGUUGGUGGGGUAACGGCCCACCAAGGCUUCGACGGGUAGCCGGCCUGAGAGGGUGACCGGCCACACUGGGACUGAGAUACGGUCCAUACACCUACGGGUGACCGCAGUCGAGAAUCUUCCGCAAUGGGCGAAAGCCUGACGGAGCGACGCCGCGUGAAGGAUGAAGUGCUUCGGCAUGUAAACUUCUUUUAUUAGGGAAAAAGUUUAUUGAUUGUACCUAACGAAUAAGGGGUUGCUAAACACGUGCCAGCCGCCGCCGUAA
rnacentral:rRNA from 1 species